UAAACCAAUAUUGUAUAAUAAAUGUUGCAAGGAUAGAUUUGAGUUUUAGCAACCAUUCAAACAUUUACGGUAAGGUAUCAUUUCGAAGAAAAAUAGAAUGAUGGACCUUUAGUCAAGUAAAACAAGCUACAAAUCUGGGUUCAUCUACAAUAUUAUUUUGUUUUGAAUUUAUGAGAGUAAUUCAUAUAGGGCGAAUAUCACGUGCUCACAAAUACUACUCACAACAGAAACCACAACCAGGGAUCUCUUGGUAUCCUGAGGAUCUCUUAGUGUCCUCAUCACAUACACGAGGGAUCUCUUGGUAUCCUCAAAACAUACAACUUCAUGUGCUAGUGAUCUCUUUGGUAUCCUGAGGAUCUCUCGGUAUCCUUAAAACUUACAAUUUCAUGUGCCAAGGAUCUCUUUGUAUCCCAAGGAUCUCUUGGUAUCCUCAAAACAUACAAUUUCAUGUGUCGGGGAUCUCUUGGUAUCCUGAGGAUCACUUGGUAUCCUCAAAACUUACAAUUUCAUGUGCCAAGGAUCUCUUGGUAUCCCGAGGAUCUCGUGAUAUCAUUAAAACUGACAAUUUCAUGUGCCAGGGAUCUCUUGGUAUCUUGCACCCUCAGUCCAGAACAUAUCAAGUGCAGGGGGAUCUCCCGGGAGGCCAAGCCAUAGUCCCAAUUUAGAAACAUACAAUAGCAACCCAAACAUUUGGAUAGAUACUAAACUCAGGACAAGAAAUAGAAAAUCCUAGCAAAGCAUUCUAUACGGAGCAUAAACAAGACAAUUUAAGCGCUUAGGCAAGUAAGUCAAAUAAACAAUCUUCUCUAAACUAGCAUAGAAUAAACUUACAAUUUAAAAUAAAUAGGUAAGCAAGAAAACUCAAUUUAAAUGCUUCAAGUAAAAACGGAUUUCCAAAUAUUUGCUCAAGUACGCACUCGUCACCUCACAUACAAGAAAUUUAAAUACCAAACAUCAUAUCCUAAGGGAAAGAAGUCCCCCACACAAAGUUAGACAAGUCACUUACCUCAAACUGGCUCCAUUGCAGUAGGGUCUCCUAUAGGACUGCUUCUAGUGAACCCUAGAAUUCAGUUGCCUGUGGAGUUUCUGAAUACCCCUCCUAUCCCAUAUCUCGGAGGUGUUGCAUUGGAGGAGCCGUCUGUAUUACGUCUAAUUGUGUAGGCUGUAGGUGGUUCCCAUUUAAUGUACAAAUUCCUUAUUUGUAUUUGUGGAGCUUUUUUGUUGGAUUAGAUAGUAAUACCGCAAUUCAGUCUUAAUUGUGCCGGCUAUAGAUGGUUCCCAUUUAAUGUACAAAUUCCUUAUUUGUGUUUGUGGAGCUUUUUUGUUGGAUUAGAUAGUAAUACCGCAAAUCAGUCCAUGAUUUCAGCCCAAAUUGACCUAUGAAUACCAAUUGCCCGUUAAAGCUUCUAAUGACAUGUUUGGUAUAAAGUAAAAGUAGUGAUUUUAUCAGUUAUUUUGUUAUCUUUGGUUGACUCAUAAAAAAAAAUUCCGGAAAAUAUUUUCUAGUAUUUGGUCAGAUAAAAUACUCUUUCUACAACAUGAAAAAAAAGUACUCAUAUUAUUCAAACGAAAGAAAAUACUUUUUCUACGACAUAAAAACGUAUCUUUUUGUUGAAAUAAAAGAAAAUAUUUUAUCUAUAAUAUGAAAAGAAAAUACUCAUUUUGUAAAAAAAGAAAAUACUUUUUUACGUCAUGAAAAGAAAGUACUUAUUAUGUUAAAAUUGAACAAAAUACUUUUCUACAUCAUAAAAAAAAUUAUUUUGUUGAAAUAAAAAAAUAUUAUUUUUAUAACAUGAAAAGAAAGUUCUCUAAAUAAUAACCAUGUUUUGGAUCCUUCCAAACCAAUCUUUCAUCAAUUUUCAAUUAACUGUGCUAGGUAUACCUUUAUGUAAGCACUCUGCCAGGUCCAUACUAGAAAAAACUCGAUCAUGACAGGUAUUUCUAUUCAGGGUGAGGUGGGGGUUCAGGGGUAGGGUGGGGUCGGGUGGUGGGAGGUGAGGGGUUCAGGUGUAGGGUAGGGUUGGAUGGUGGGAGGUGGGUUGACGGUAUGUGAAAAGUUCUAAUUUUACUACUUUUUUAUUAUUCUUAUUUUUGUUAGUAUUAUAAAAUAAAGAACUAUUAACUAAAGUUCUAAAUCUUAAUUGAGAAGAAAAACCAUUAGACAUGAAUUAGCAUUUAUUUUAACACAUAAGACAAUAAGCAACUAGAAAAAAGAAAUUAAUCAUCAUAAAUCACUCCAGUAUGUGAAAAGUUCUAGUUUUUUACUACUUUUUUAUUAUUCUUAUUUUUGUUAGUAUUAUAAAAUAAAGAACUAUUAACUAAAGUUCUAAAUCUUAAUUGAGAAUAAAAACCAUUAGACAUGAAUUAGCAUUUAUUUUAACACAUAAGACAAUAAGCAACUAGAAAAAAGAAAUUAAUCAUCAUAAACCACUCCAGAAUAAUAUUUACGAAAAAGUAAUCAUUGAGGAAUUUUAAGAAAUCAGUAUGUGGCUAUUAACUUCCUAUAACUAUCAUAUGGAUAAUUAUUUCAUAUAGCUAUAAUUCAAUUGUUACGGUAGUGCAAUCGCUAUAUUCGCAUUGUUGUAUUCAUGAGUACAGUAGCAAAAAUGCUCCUCAAAAUCAAGGCAGUCCAGUUGUACGCGCACGUAUUCACAUGUAUUCGUGCCAUGCAUUCAUGAAUACAACAGCAAAAAACACAUAAAAUCAUUGCAGUCCAAGUGUAUGCGGAUGUAUUCACAUGUAUUCGCGCUAUAUAUUCAUGAAUGCAGUAACAUCAAUCACCUCAAAAGUAGGUGAUCCAACUGUCUAAGAGAGAGAGAAAACAUAAAUAGCGUAUUUCAUGCCUUAUUUCAUUCUCCAAUGAUAGUAUAUACCAUAAAUACUUCUUUUGCUAUAAAAAUUAUUUCCUUCAAAGUCAAGACUGACGCCUUUAUAUGCCCAUCAUUAGGGCAAACUUCAGAUUUUUAAGUUGCCUUUUAGUCCUCUAGUUUUAUAACUUGCUUGCCAAGUUAAAUCACCAUAACCCUGAAAUUCCUACUAAGGCCCCUACUAGAAGCUUCUUAUUUUGUUACUGAUUAGAUUCCCUUAAUCAAAUACCUAAACUACCCUCCAAUACCCAUGUUUUUACCCCCUUCAAACUUCGCAGAUAAAACAUGAAUCAGAACUGAUGUCAAACUCCAGCUAAUGGGCUGGUUGUCCUCACACCAUGGGCUAAUAAACACACAGACCCCAAGCCCAAACAAAACAAACAAAAUUUAGGGGAAGUAGCCCAAUUCACACAUCCGUUAAUCAUAAUUUUGUUUUUCCUUCUUUUCCCUCCUUAUUUUCUUGAAAAUGUUUUGGCAUUGAAAUUAACACUAUCACACUAGCUUAAUCUUACAGAAAAAGAGAUGGAGCAGAAUUAAAUGUUGAACUAAAGGAGGAACAGAACGUACCAAAAGACAAAGCAACAUCCAUAGCCUGUAAAAAGAAAAACUUCAAAAUCCUUAGUGACGAAGCUGACUCAAGAUCGAAACUCUAAUGAACUCAAAUGCCGGACCCAUUGAUGAACAUGGUACCCUGAAUAUCAGCUGAAACUUCGUUCAUAGCUAAUAAUUUGUACCAUAAUUCUUAUCAUGAGUUGGAAAGAAAUGAAGUGGACCCGGAAGGAGGCAAAGCGUUUUGAAGAACAUGUCUGUCAUACAGCCAUGGUCGAAGAGCAGCGCGUUCUUGGACAACGAACAAACCUCCAUUGACGGAGGACUAAGGUAUUCAUGCAAGCCUUAGCCGGAAAAAAAAAUUUAGGCAAGAGAAAAAACUUGAAUUUUUACCUUUUGAUCUGAAAUUGGGAACACUCUGGUGGUCUUUUGGAAAAAAUAGUGGCAGGACAUGAAAGAGAAGAUGGUGGGGAUCAUCUCAUGAAAUUUUAGGGAGAUUUGGAGGUAAUCCGCCGCCGUGAGACGAUCUCCGAGUGGCGGAGAGACGGUGACAGCGGGUGGAGACUUUAGAGAGUGGAGAAAUCAGGUCUUCAUUGAGGAGGAAUGAAUGACUCUAGGAGAAUUUGGUCGUUGAAUGGCAGAGAGUGAUGAAACGACGUAGUUUAAUACUGAAACUGCGUCGUUUUGGGCUAGCCCAAAACGUACCGGGUCUGGGAAGUGAUAUGGGCUGGGUUACAUGGGGUUGUGUAUCAGGUGAGGGGUUUGGGUGAAUUGGGCUGGGAUUUUAGUUACAAUGACCCAAUUUGGGUCUCCUAAUUAAGACCAUAUGUUCCAACUUCCUUUUUUUUCAUUUCAAAAAUUUUUCAAAAUUAAAAUAAAAAUUCUAAAUUAAUUCUAAAGUUAAACUAAGUAAUAAUUAUUAAAAGAAAAUAGAUGGCCUAAAAAUUAAAACCAAAAUUAACGUGCAACUAGACUAUUGUUUGAAUUAUUUCUUUUUUUUCCUAAAAUGAACCUAUCACUUAAUAAUUAUUAAAAAUGCAAAAUUGCUCCUAAAUGCACAUGCCUCAUGUAGUUUUGUAUUUCAUUAUUUAAAAUGCACAAACAAAAUGCAAAAAUUAACAGAAAAUUCCACAAAAAUCAACAAAAUAAAAAAUAAUUAGAAAUAGUGAAAAGAAAUUAUUUUGUUUGGAAUUAUGGGAGUAGUUCACAUAGGGCAAAAAUCACGUGUUCACACCAACAAUUUGGACUAUUAGGGGAUUUUAACUAAUAUUUCCUCAUUGAUUUGACUUUAUACUCGUACUCAGUCAUGCUUUAUCCUACCGUCUUUAUAACUCGGCCAUGUUUACUCUGUUUAAUACAUUAAAUGAUAUUUCUAAUAAUAAUUGGGCUGAACAUCAUAUUUUUCAGUUGCCCGAAUGGCUUAUGAUAUUCUGACUGAAUAAGGCCGAGGGCUUGUGUUGUGAGGAUACUUUUGGGUCUGGAUGUACACUGCAGAAGUGAUACACUUAUUAUGAUUAUGAAGCCGAGGGCCUGAGAUUGUAUGCCACAAGGUGGCUUGUUAAUAUGAGACCGAGACCGAGGGCAUGUUAAUUAUGCUACGAGAUGGCUUGAUAUUGCGCUUGGACCGUAAAGGAUCCCUCUAGGAGUCUAUACACCCCUAGUGAGCGCGGAUACCCAUUGUGAUACGAGAUAUAGCCCGAGGGGCCGGUGUUGUUCGAUGUGUUGCCCGAGGGGAUGAUUUUGUUGGUAUUGUGCACGAGGAGCGGUUCUUAUGUGUUCAUCUUUUCUAGUUGUCUCUCAUUUACUUGCUUCACUGCGCUAAAAAGGCAUUUUAAAGAAGCUUAUCUGAACUAAGGUGACUUACAUGUUUUCACUGUUUCGUUGCUUUUACUGGCUUUUAUUGUUUCUCUAUAAUCUGCUGAUGUGCCUUUACGUGAUUUCUUAUUGCUCAGUCUUCAUUUAUUAUUAUUACUCACUGAGCUAGAGUACUCACUUUACUCCUUGCACCCCGUGUGCAGAUUCAGGGGCUUCAGAUCCUGCUUGCGAGGGUUGAGAUCUUCCAGCAGAUUCGGAGAUCCACUAGGUAGCUGCUCGGCGUUCGCGGUCCAAUGCUUCUCCCUCUAUCUUAUUUACUCAUGUUUUAGUUCUAUAGUAGACUAUGUAGACUUCUUCUAUUUUAUUCGGUUAUUAGAUGCUCAUGAUUGGUGACACCCCGAUGUCGGACUAUAUAUAUUCUGCAAAUUAUACUAUUUUAUUGUUUCUAUUGGGAGUUGAUCAUUUCAAUGACCUAAUUAUGCUAUUUUAACUAUUUAAAAUGAAUUGUCUGUUGAGUCGGUUGGCUUUGUAUUCACGAGAGGCUCCAUCACAAUCGGGUUCGGGUUUAGGGUCAUGACACAUGGCAAGUAUCUGCAUUCAGACAGUAGUGAUGAGUUGUGCAUGUUAUCGUUUUUAACAUAAAAAUUACCUUAAUAGAAUCGACAUUGAUUUACAGUGGUAAUAGUUUAUGUUUCCAUGCGAUGUGUAAGCCUUGGAGUAAUGCACAGAGUUCCAUUGUAGUAGGGUCUCCUAUAGGACUGCUUCUAGUGAACCCUAGAAUUCAGUUGCCUGUGGAGUUUCUGAAUACCCCUCCUAUCCCAUAUCUCGGAGGUGUUGCAUUGGAGGAGCCGUCUGUAUUACGUCUAAUUGUGUAGGCUGUAGGUGGUUCCCAUUUAAUGUACAAAUUCCUUAUUUGUAUUUGUGGAGCUUUUUUGUUGGAUUAGAUAGUAAUACCGCAAUUCAGUCCAUGAUUCCAUCUCAAAUUGACCUAUGAAUACCAAUUGCCCGUUAAAGCUUCUAAUGACAUGUUUGGUAUAAAGGAAAAGUAGUGAUUUUAUCACAUAUUUUGUUAUCUUUGGUUGACUCAUAAAAAAAAAUUCCGGAAAAUAUUUUCUAAUAUUUGGUCAAAGCCUCGAACAUAUUUUUUAGGAAGAUAAAUUUCUAUGCUACUUUUCUUCAAGAAUUUAAUUAUUUUUUAAAUAUCUGCUCAAAUCCAAAGGGACUAAUGUGGUGCUUUACUUUUUCACACAAGAUCAACAUUGAAAUUGAAAUUUAAAAAAUACUCUUUAAAAAUAAAAAUACUCUUUCUACAACAUGAAAGAAAGUACUCAUAUUAUUCAAACGAAAGAAAAUACUUUUUCAACGACAUAAAAACGUAUCUUUUUGUUGAAAUAAAAGAAAAUAUUUUAUCUAUAAUAUGAAUACUCAUUUUGUAAAAAAAGAAAAUAUUUUUUAUGUCAUGAAAAGAAAGUACUUAUUAAGUUAAAAUUGAAGAAAAUACUUUUCUACAUCAUAAAAAAAAUUAUUUUGUUGAAAUAAAAAAAAUACUAAUUUUAUAACAUGAAAAGAAAGUACUCUAAAUAAUAACCAUGUUUUGGAUCCUUCCAAACCAAUCUUUCAUCAAUUUUCGAUUAACCGUGCCAGGUAUACCUUUAUGUUAGCACUCCGCCAGGUCCGUACUAGAAAAAACUCGAUCAUGACAGGUAUUUCUAUUUAGGGUGAGGUGGGGGUUCAGGGGUAGGGUGGGGUCGGGUGGUGGGAGGUGAGGGGUUCAGGUGUAGGGUAG
rnacentral:lncRNA from 1 species